rnacentral:rRNA from 1 species
UACAGAGGUGGCAAGCGUUGUUCGGAAUUACUGGGCGUAAAGGGCGCGUAGGCGGCCAUCUAAGUCAGACGUGAAAUCCCCCGGCUUAACCUGGGAACUGCGUCUGAUACUGGAAGGCUUGAGUAUGGGAGAGGGAUGUAGAAUUCCAGGUGUAGCGGUGAAAUGCGUAGAUAUCUGGAGGAACACCGGUGGCGAAGGCGGCAUCCUGGACCAACACUGACACUGAGGAGCGAAAGCCAGGGGAGCAAACGGG